CCAGUGCCCGCAGCGCCCUCCUGUCCCACCGCCCACCCCCCGCGUCCUACCUUGGUGUCCCCCGGGGCUGUACAUCCGGAGACAGCUGAAGGGAGAAGCAGAAGGGUCUGCUACGUGGACUGCACCUUGAUAUUGUAGAUCUAAACAGCUAAAAGGAAGAUGGAACCGAGAGGCAUCAUCUGCAGGGGCCAAGUUACUCAGUGCCCAUUUUCUGGAACCAGGUUCCCACCUCCCCUCUGCACCAGGCCCCGUGACUGGGGCACUUCUUUGAGAGUGUACGCCCCAAAUGAGAAGACAAGCCCCCUGCAGAAAACUCUGGGGCUCAAGCAAGUGCUGGACACAGAAGAAAAAUCCAGAAUCGGCCACGUGGUGCAGGUGAACUCAGGACAGCUGUUCUCUAGAAACACUACAGCAGUGGUGUGUGGGCCGGAAGUGCUUGAGCGUGCAUGGGGCCUCUCUGGGGCCUCAGGGUCUCAGGGCGGCAGGAAGGUGUGGACAGGCCUGUCCCGGAGGCACCACUGCCUCAAUCAGCGAGCUGAUAAACACGCCUCAUGUUUCCCGAGAGCUUCCCUCUCUGUCGUGACUGGUGUGGUUCACAGAGAACAAGUCAUGUGGACUCCACGAAGACUCUGCCCUAUUAUAAACGAUAAGUUGAUCUCGUUAUUACCCGACUUCACCCCCCGUGGUGGUAAACAGAUCACCACGUUUAUGCUGGCACAUGAGAGACAGGAUUAUUUGCUUUUGUUCUCUACAAGAGGCCUUCUUUUCUUCUCGGAAUUAGAAUGGCACACAAACCCCACUGACCCCCGCAGCCUGCCUGUGGGAUUACAUCCUGCUCCUUCGUAUUUCGAGUCUGGUCUGGGAAACAAAGGUCAGACCCAAGUAGGUGGGGCGGGGGCGGGGGUGGAGGUUGACAGGGAUUCCAUGCUGAGAGAGAGACGGAAUGCAGGGCCCAUCUGUCUGCCAACCGGAGGGUUUUCCUCUCUAUCAACAGUGUAUUAACUUGUUCUGCACAGAAAAAAUGUAAAUUGUUCAUAAUUAAAAGACACACAUUGGACACUGAGAAUUAAUAGGAAAAACAUGAAUUUGUUAACA
rnacentral:lncRNA from 1 species